GCGGAGGUGGGAGAGGGACGUCGUCGUAUACGGGUGGUGGAGGAGGGUGGGAGGGACGCCUGCCUCCUACCGAAAAUUCGCCGGCGGCGCUGUGCGUCGCGACGCCUUUGUAGCUUUUAGGACAUCAGCGUACAUCUCCGAAGCGCCGACAGGCUUAAAGGCACCCUUGUUUCUUGUUCUUGUUAGACCGUACGACCAACAACCGCAGCCAUGGACGCGAUCAAGAAGAAGAUGCAAGCGAUGAAGCUUGAGAAGGACAAUGCGGCCGACAAAGCCGACGCGAUGGAAGGACAGGCCAAGGAUGCCAAUGCCCGCGUUGAAAAACUCAACGAAGAACUUCGGGACCUUCAAAAGAAACUGUCCCAAGUGGAACAGGACCUGGAAAACACCAAGAGCAACCUGGACCAGGCCAACAAGAAUUUGGAAGAAAAAGAUAAGGCUUUGACUAACGCUGAGUCUGAAGUGGCCGCCCAAAACAGGAAACUCCAGCUGAUUGAAGAAGAUCUCGAGCGUUCCGAGGAACGUUUGGCCACCGCCACUACCAAACUGGCCGAAGCGUCACAGGCCGCCGACGAAAGUUCUCGUAUGUGCAAAGUAUUGGAAAACCGUUCCCAACAAGACGAGGAACGUAUGGACCAGCUGACCAACCAACUGAAAGAAGCUCGCAUGCUGGCAGAAGAUGCCGACAACAAAUCGGACGAGGUGUCCCGCAAGUUGGCCUUCGUUGAAGACGAACUGGAAGUAGCCGAGGAUCGUGUCAAGGGUGGUGACGCCAAGAUCAUGGAACUGGAAGAGGAACUGAAAGUAGUGGGUAACUCCCUCAAAUCUCUGGAGGUGUCCGAAGAGAAGGCCAACCAGAGAGUGGAGGAGUUCAAGAAACAGUUGAAAUCUUUGACCGUUAAGCUGAAGGAAGCAGAGGCUCGUGCCGAGUUCGCCGAGAAAACCGUCAAGAAGUUGCAGAAGGAGGUUGACAGGCUCGAAGAUUUUGUGUUCAAGGAAAAGAACAAGUACAUCGGUAUUGUGACAGAUAUAGAUAAGACGUUCGUGGAAAUGUCUUCGUUAGGACAGAAAAAAUAGACCUAAUUUGUCGUUUCUAUAGUAAUAAAUAUCCCAUUAAUCUAGUGGAAUCUUUGGAAUUUUUCCUCCAGAUUAAUGGCUUAUUAAGUCUUCAGCUGCCAAAUUAAUGAAAAAAUGAUAUAAUAAUAAUUGUUUAUUUAGUGCCUUAAUAUAAGUUUAUUUAUAUGUAUAUUGUUCCUACACGAGCUGUAUAAUUAGUAGCAACAUUUUUACAUUAUUUUCCUGUUUGUAUGCAACGCUUACCAUGCUCACCGUCCUUUGCUUCCGCUUUAGAUGCUGCCUCAACUGCAAUGCUUAUAUGCUUUAUUUUGACGAGUUGGGUAUCAACAAAGACAGAUACAAGUCACUCGCAGACGAGAUGGACUCCACCUUCGCCGAACUGGCCGGUUACUAAAGCAAAUUUUCACGAUUUUAUCGUCAAAAAUAAACUUGUUAAAUGUGUAUAAUAUUGUACUUUUGAUGUGAACCUAAUGCACCAUCAUCAUGUUUACUUUUUAAGAUCCUUAUAUACUAUUGUAAUAAAAUUAUGUUAUUUUUUUGGGAAAUGUAAAUCUUUUUUUUUUCGCUUGUUUUUGUGACGUCGUAUGCGAGGAAAAUACGUCGUCGUGGAAAACUGCUGCAAAUGAAAAUUGUAUUUUGUCUAAUUAAAUAAAACAUUAAAUUUG